rnacentral:rRNA from 1 species
GAUGAACGCUGGCGGCGUGCUUAACACACGCAAGUCGAACGAAGCACUUUAAUCGAUUUCUUCGGAUUGAAAUUUUAGUGACUGAGUGGCGGACGGGUGAGUAACGCGUGGGUAACCUGCCUCACACAGGGGGAUAACAGUUGGAAACGGCUGCUAAUACCGCAUAAGCGCACAGUACCGCAUGGUACGGUGUGAAAAACUCCGGUGGUGUGAGAUGGACCCGCGUCUGAUUAGCUAGUUGGCAGGGCAGCGGCCUACCAAGGCGACGAUCAGUAGCCGACCUGAGAGGGUGACCGGCCACAUUGGGACUGAGACACGGCCCAAACUCCUACGGGAGGCAGCAGUGGGGAAUAUUGCACAAUGGGGGAAACCCUGAUGCAGCGACGCCGCGUGAGCGAAGAAGUAUUUCGGUAUGUAAAGCUCUAUCAGCAGGGAAGAAGAAAUGACGGUACCUGACUAAGAAGCACCGGCUAAAUACGUGCCAGCCGCCGCAGUAA